AUUGAACGCUGGCGGCAGGCCUAACACAUGCAAGUCGAGCGGAUGAAGGGAGCUUGCUCCUGGAUUCAGCGGCGGACGGGUGAGUAAUGCCUAGGAAUCUGCCUGGUAGUGGGGGAUAACGUCCGGAAACGGGCGCUAAUACCGCAUACGUCCUGAGGGAGAAAGUGGGGGCUCUUCGGACCUCACGCUAUCAGAUGAGCCUAGGUCGGAUUAGCUAGUUGGUGGGGUAAAGGCCUACCAAGGCGACGAUCCGUAACUGGUCUGAGAGGAUGAUCAGUCACACUGGGACUGAGACACGGUCCAGACUCCUACGGGAGGCAGCAGUGGGGAAUAUUGGACAAUGGGCGAAAGCCUGAUCCAGCCAUGCCGCGUGUGUGAAGAAGGUCUUCGGAUUGUAAAGCACUUUAAGUUGGGAGGAAGGGCAGUAAGUUAAUACCUUGCUGUUUUGACGUUACCAACAGAAUAAGCACCGGCUAACUUCGUG
rnacentral:rRNA from 1 species